GGCCAUUAUCUGUGGUUGGUGGGUUGGUUGGUAGGUGGGUUGGUUGGUAGGUGGGUUGGUUGGUUGGUAGGUGGGUUGGUUGGUAGGUGGGUUGGUUGGUAGGUGGGUUGGUUGGUAGGUGGGUUGGUUGGUAGGUGGGUGGGUUGGUUGGUUGGUAGGUGGGUUGGUGGGUUGGUAGGUGGGUUGGUUGGUUGGUAGGUGGGUUGGUGGGUUGGUAGGUGGGUUGGUUGGUUGGUAGGUGGGUUGGUUGGUAGGUGGGUUGGUUGGUAGGUGGGUUGGUUGGUUGGUUGGUUGGUUGGUUGGCAGGUAGGUGGGUUCAUUGGUAGGUGGGUUGGUUGGUAGGUGGGUUGGUUGGUAGGUGGGUUGACCCUAGAGGACAUGUGGGGAUGUGUUGUGUCCCUAUGCUAGCAGGCUAGCCUCUAAUGGUUGCAUCUCCCAGAGGCAUUGUGGGAGAGAUCGAUAGUCCUUUGUCACUCUGAAGCAGACACAGUGACACUCGAU
rnacentral:lncRNA from 1 species